GACGAACGCUGGCGGCGUGCCUAAUACAUGCAAGUAGAACGCUGAAGGAGGAGCUUGCUCUUCUGGAUGAGUUGCGAACGGGUGAGUAACGCGUAGGUAACCUGCAUGGUAGCGGGGGAUAACUAUUGGAAACGAUAGCUAAUACCGCAUAACAGUAGAUGUUGCAUGACAUUUACUUAAAAGGUGCAAUUGCAUCACUACCAGAUGGACCUGCGUUGUAUUAGCUAGUUGGUGGUGUAACGGCUCACCAAGGCGACGAUACAUAGCCGACCUGAGAGGGUGAUCCGCCACACCGGGACUGAGACACGGCCCAGACUCCUACGGGAGGCAGCAGUAGGGAAUCUUCGGCAAUGGACGGAAGUCUGGCCGAGCAACGCCGCGUGAGUGAAGAAGGUUUUCGGGUCGUAAAGCUCUGUUGUAAGAGAAGAACGAGUGUGAGAGUUGAAAGUUCACACUGUGACGGUAUCUUACCAGAAAGGGACGGCUAACUACGUG
rnacentral:rRNA from 1 species